rnacentral:pre_miRNA from 1 species
AGUGGGAUAACUGGGUCAAAUAGUGGCUCUAAGUUUUCUGAGGAAUCUCCAUACUGCUUUCCAUAGUGGCUUCACCAAUUUGCAUUCCUACCAGCAAU